rnacentral:rRNA from 1 species
AGCGAACGCUGGCGGCAGGCUUAACACAUGCAAGUCGAGCGGGCGUAGCAAUACGUCAGCGGCAGACGGGUGAGUAACGCGUGGGAACGUACCUUUUGGUUCGGAACGACUGAGGGAAACUUCAGCUAAUACCGGAUAAGCCCUUACGGGGAAAGAUUUAUCGCCGAAAGAUCGGCCCGCGUCUGAUUAGCUUGUUGGUGAGGUAACGGCUCACCAAGGCGACGAUCAGUAGCUGGUCUGAGAGGAUGAUCAGCCACAUUGGGACUGAGACACGGCCCAAACUCCUACGGGAGGCAGCAGUGGGGAAUAUUGGACAAUGGGCGCAAGCCUGAUCCAGCCAUGCCGCGUGAGUGAUGAAGGCCCUAGGGUUGUAAAGCUCUUUUAACGGGGAAGAUAAUGACGGUACCCGUAGAAUAAGCCCCGGCUAACUUCGUGCCAGCAGCCGCGGUAAAAC